UACGGGGGGGGCAAGCGUUGUUCGGAAUUACUGGGCGUAAAGAGCGCGCAGGCGGUCGUUCAAGUCGAGUGUGAAAGCCCCCGGCUCAACUGGGGAGGGUCAUUCGAUACUGAUCGACUCGAAGGCAGGAGAGGGUAGUGGAAUUCCCGGUGUAGUGGUGAAAUGCGUAGAUAUCGGGAGGAACACCAGUGGCGAAGGCGACUACCUGGCCUGUUCUUGACGCUGAGGCGCGAAAGCUAGGGGAGCAAACGGG
rnacentral:rRNA from 1 species